rnacentral:lncRNA from 1 species
AAUUUCAUUAGUUUAAAGGCUCACAAAAAAAUUGGCUACCAAGGUCAAAACAAUAAAGUUCACAAUUUAAAGCCUAAAUCCAGCUUUGCUAGGAAGAAGCAUAAGAACUACUUUUAUCAUUUGCACAAGAUAAAGCUGGUAGUGAAGGCUUCCAUAUUGCUAAUUAACCGAUAAAAACCACCGAUGAAGCACAAGCAAAAAUAAAUUAAAGAGAAAGGGACCUCAAACCAUCAAAAGCCCAAUAGCCUAAUAGGAAAAGGACAAUUCCUAAAAAAGUCUGAGAGAUGAUUGCGGAUACUGAGUAGCACUCUUUAGUGAUGAUAAGCCUUUUGGAUCUAUCGUCUAUAAAGCGAAUUGCGGUAAGAGAUCUCAGAGAUGCUCAAUACCAUAAAGGAUUCAACACCCUCAGAACAAAGACAUGAGGAUGAAGGAUAAAAGUGGAUCAAGAAGGCAAGAUCUCCAACCGGAUUACGGGAUGGCAGAAGAUAUGUGCUCUACUCAGAUACUGGUGAGCCUUCUCUCCCUUACAAAGUGAUGAUUUUUCAUCUUCAAACAUGCAAAAGAAAAGAAGAAACAACAACACAAGGCAACCAAGAAGAACUAUUAGCAUGUUGACCCGCUGCUUCCAAAAUAAAAGUAAAAAAGAAAAUUAAAACUAUAUAAAUUCAUAUCUAUGGGAUAGAGAGAAUCCACAUAGGGCUAAAGAGGCGAGGCUUCCCUCUGUCCCAAGAGCAAAUAAAGGUUGACAGGCGGUAGAUAAAGAGAAAAAAAUCCUAAAUGGUAAUACUCAUAAAGGAAUAGAGAAAAGAGAGAUUCUCUCUCUAAAAUAGAAAAAGAUAUUCUCUGUUGUACAUACAAUGAUUUUAUUGUACCCAUUGAUUAUAGUAGAUUUUAUUAUAAUUUAUGAUUAAUAUAUAACCAUAAUUAAUAUAAUAAUUUUUCAUACUAAGCUAAUUACGGUCUAAUUCAGAAUUCAAAUCCGCCGUGAUCAGGUAAAAUCAACGAUCCAAAUAAAGGAUAAGUGUUCGGUGGCAGCACAACCCUAAUACUGGUAAAGGUAAGGUGGGCUGGACUCAGUAUGCACAACCUAUUUCGGUUAAAGACGAGGCGGAGACUAAGUCCAGGUCAAGAUAAGGGUGGAGUCUUCAUGUCCAGGUCUAGACGUAAUCGCUGGGCUCGUUAUCUGCUGAUCCUCGUGGACCCUCUCGUUGCUGAGUUUUGUGUACUGAAUUGGGUCAAUGCAUUUCUCUUGCAUCUUAGACAUCUGCAUUGAAGUUAAAAGCUGGGCCCAUGGCGGAUAUCUAAAUAAAUAAGAAUGAAUAGGUAAACACUAAUGAUUUUACAUCAAAAUAAAUGGUUUUUUUUUUUAAAAAGAAGAUAAUAAUUACCUUUUGUAUUUAAAGAUAUUUAUUUGAUCCAUGAUAUUUCUUUUGUACAAUGAGUUUUUAGUGGUUAUUUAAAUGCUUUAUCA